rnacentral:lncRNA from 1 species
CUCAGAUCCAUCGGUGGCUCCCUGCCGCUCCCAGCCGGCUCCGGCACCUGCAGGCUGCACCUGCCGGCUCUCGGGGUGGGGCUGGGGGCUGCACACACUCGGUCCCAGCCCCGGCCCUCCCGCGACGCCGCCCCUGGCUCCCCCGGCACCGUGCUGAGUGUUCCCCUCUGUGGACAGGCCGGGGUGGACCCCGCCACUGUGCUCCCUGCCAUCCAACCAGGGGCGCCCUGGGCAGACGGGAGGGAGGAGGGCGGACAGGUGCCUCCUUGGCCCUCUUGGGAGGUUGCCCCCGCAGCCUGGGUUGCACACCCCCUCCUCCCGACUCCCAGGGGCCACCCCUCGCCUGUGCCAGUGGGCCAUGUGUGCGGUGGGCUGGGCUGCAGCCAGCCCGAGUCUCCCCUGGGGGCCUGUGGCCGACGCCCCCCGGGCAGGGGACAUGGCUCGUGUGGGACACAGUCGGUGCUCUGUAAUUGCACGUUGAGCCGUGAACCCCAGGAACAAGGCUGGGCGCCUCCCACGGCCACGGUGACCACGGAGGCCCGCUCUCUGGACCCGACCCGGGAGGCAGCUGCUGCCCGGGGGAGGAGACCUGUGGAGCGAGCUCGGCCCCUGGCUCCUCCACCGCUUCCAGCCGCUGUGCCCUGGUGCUUGUGCGCAGUUGUCACCGCGAUGGGGACCCGGCCGCUGCAGGACCCUCCCGGAAACCCAGGGUGGAGGAGGGGGCAGCUUGGGCCCCAGGCCCCACCCCCAGGACGGUCCGCCCUCAUCCAGCCCCGAGCUUGGCGCUGGGCCCACAGCUUCUCCCUCCUUCCUUCCCCUUGCCCAGCCAAGACAGCACCACUCCCAGGAAGCCCCCCAGGCUCUCCCCAUCAGGAGCCACCUCCCCGAUGCCUGGAGCUGGGCCACCUCCCCCUACACAGAGCCGUGAGCUCCCGCAGGGCAGGAGCAGGCCGCCAGCGCGCCCUGCGUGUCCUCCGAGCCAACCGCACCAUGACUUUCAGAGAACACACAGGGCACAGGCGCCUUCGUCACCACGCUGGCGCUCUCGGCCCGUGCGGCAGCGGCGUCGGCUGUGGCCUGCACCCCCCCCACACACACACACAGCUGGCCACUUACCUAUUGGUCCUGCUCCCUGCUCCCCGUGAGCAGCCCAUGCUGUCUCCUCCGUGGAAAGGCCUGGCCACGCCUCGGCCCCAACCUUGGGCAAGGCGGCCCUCUCUGGGCCUGGGUCCUGAGCCCGGCUUCGCCCCAGGGGCUCCUGCCCAUCCCCAGGACCCCGCAGGAGGCUGA